rnacentral:piRNA from 1 species
AGAGCAGGUUCCACAGCAGACAAGUGCUC